rnacentral:rRNA from 1 species
AUUGAACGCUGGCGGCAUGCCUUACACAUGCAAGUCGAACGGUAACGGGCCUUCGGGUGCCGACGAGUGGCGAACGGGUGAGUAAUGUAUCGGAACGUACCUUUCAGUGGGGGAUAACGUAGCGAAAGUUACGCUAAUACCGCAUAUUCUGUGAGCAGGAAAGCAGGGGCUCGCAAGACCUUGCGCUGAUUGAGCGGCCGAUAUCAGAUUAGCUAGUUGGUGAGGUAAAGGCGCACCAAGGCGACGGUCUGUAGCGGGUCUGAGAGGAUGAUCCGCCACACUGGAACUGAGACACGGUCCAGACUCCUACGGGAGGCAGCAGUGGGGAAUUUUGGACAAUGGGGGCAACCCUGAUCCAGCCAUGCCGCGUGAGUGAAGAAGGCCUUCGGGUUGUAAAGCUCUUUCGGCCGGGAAGAAAUCGUAUCAGCUAAUACCUGGUGCGGAUGACGGUACCGGCAUAAGAAGCACCGGCUAACUACGUGCCAGCCGCCGCCGUAAAAC